rnacentral:rRNA from 1 species
AUUGAACGCUGGCGGCAUGCCUUACACAUGCAAGUCGAACGGUAACAGGUCUUCGGAUGCUGACGAGUGGCGAACGGGUGAGUAAUACAUCGGAACGUGCCCGAUCGUGGGGGAUAACGAAGCGAAAGCUUUGCUAAUACCGCGUAAGAUCUACGGAUGAAAGCAGGGGACCGCAAGGCCUUGCGCGAACGGAGCGGCCGAUGGCAGAUUAGGUAGUUGGUGGGAUAAAAGCUUACCAAGCCGACGAUCUGUAGCUGGUCUGAGAGGACGACCAGCCACACUGGGACUGAGACACGGCCCAGACUCCUACGGGAGGCAGCAGUGGGGAAUUUUGGACAAUGGGCGAAAGCCUGAUCCAGCCAUGCCGCGUACAGGAUGAAGGCCUUCGGGUUGUAAACUGCUUUUGUACGGAACGAAAAGACUCUUUCUAAUAAAGAGGGUCCAUGACGGUACCGUAAGAAUAAGCACCGGCUAACUACGUGCCAGCAGCCGCUGUAAAAC